AAUUAAGCCGUGGGGCACUGAAAUAGUGAGAGAUGAGAAAGGGGGAAAGAAACAAGUGAAGGAACUAGAAGGAAAACAGAAAACACAGUGUUUAGAAACUGAGAGAAAGAGUGUUCCAAGAAGGAGGAGAUGAUUGUGCCAGCUGCACUUAAGAGUGCUGGAUUUGCAAACUGCAGAUGGCAUAGGGGAAAGGAAGGUCUGACUGGAGCAGGUUCAAGAAAAAAUGGGAGGAGAGAAACUAGUGAGAACAAGAGCAGACAAUUCUUUUAUGGUUUUACUCUAAUGGAACAUAACAUGGGUCAGUAACUGGAGGGUGAUUUGGGGUAAAAGGAGUUGAGUGUGUUUUUGUUUUGUUUCGUUCUGUUUAGAAAAUGGUCAUCAGCUGACACAGGUGAUUGAAGUGACACCCUGUCCCAAGAGUAGCUGGCUACUUAGCGCCAAGAAACUGCUUCUCUCCUGGCAUGCAAACAUGGAGCUUCAGGAGCCAAAGCUCUAAAUGGCCUCAGACUCAGAAGUUGAACAGUGAAGCCACCAUCUCAGCCCAGUGCCCUCCAAAGUCUCUGGUGCCACUACACAGCUGCUUACAGCUUAAUGAACCACUGUUUAGUGUGCUGCUAAAUGAGGUUGCAAAGAAUGAACCAUCUCUAAUGGUAUCAGCUUUUUACAUGAGGAAAGGAGUUCUCAUCACUUACCAGACUUCACCUGAAGGACAGAACACCCCAGACCUUUGCAUUUGAGCGAACUGGCAACUCUUCAGGGAGCAGAUCUAUGACUUUGCAUGCUGAUCUAUUUUCUGCUCCAGUGGUCAUCAUUAAUAUUAAUGCCAAAUUGGAAGUCGAGACAUUGGGGUCCUCCGGCAGAAAGUCAGCACAAAAGUCUGACUGUGAAUUAGCCAGGAUGGAUGUGCCAGAGCUAGUGCAAAUCAUGAUGAAAACAAUACAUUGCUCAAGUGCUUUUUGAGAGCUCAGACAAAUAUUACCCAGACUUAGCCUAAAAGCAAUGAAAUCACUAGUCCUAUAAUGACAUUAGAUAUACUUAAAAUGAAAAGCUGAGAAAAUUAUUGUUUUUGUUUUUUUGUUUUGUCUAGAGAUGUAUCUAUACUUAAGGGGCUCCUUCUACCUAGAAACACUGAGGACAUAGAUCUAAGCCUCUUCAUUGAAAUUGCCCCAGAUGGGGAUGUAGCUCAGUGUUUAAGUAUGUGCUCAGCAGGUGUGAGGCCCUGGAUUCAAUCUCAAGCACUAAAAAUAAAUAAAUAGAUAAAUACUAUUUCUUUAUUUAUGUAACUAUUUCCCAAGAGAAUUUUGAGCUAACUCCUAAAGAGAUUGCUGAAUAUGCCAUAAUUCAUAUUAUUAUACCACCUGCCAUAAUAAUAGUAGCUAACCAUAGUGCUUACUAUAUGCCAAGUUCUCUAUACUAUUUUCCCAUAUUAAUCUAUUUUUAAACUCACAGCAACCUUAUGGGACAGGUGCUAUUAUUUUUCCUCUUUGAAAGAUCAGACACUGAGAGUUUAUGUAACUUGCCACAGUUACCCAGCUAGAGAACUACAGUCAGAAUUUUGACCCAGUUAGCACUAGAAAUUAUGCUUUUGAACAUACUACAUAUUUGAUAGAUAAUCUUUUAUUAUCCACUAACUAUUUGUGCUUAUUCCUAUCUUCCCAGACAGAUAUUUAAGGGUAAUCCCUGUCUCAUAUCUCAUUUUAUCUCUUUCCAUAAUUAGUUGCACAUGGUUAGUUCUUUAUGGUUUACUGAUCAUGUCUGCCUUAAAGUUGUCUUAAAUGCUCUCUGGGACUGAAGGUUGGGGAGAUAAAUAGAAACAAAUUUUUGAGGUUUUUUUUUUUGAACACCAAUAUUUCUGAAAAUCUGUAACUAGACCUUGUGAAUACUUUUAUCAUCAGUCUGGAAAAUCUUACUACUAGAAUGUAUGAAUUCUUAUAGCAAGGGCUAUAAGGUGAAUAUUUAUAGCAUACCAAUUUCCAAUAUGAUAUUUAAAGUGUUUUUCAUAGAGAAAACAAUUCCCCCCAAAAUAAUUCUCACAUGCAUUAAAUUCAAAGUUAUUCUUGAAGAAGGGUUGGGGAGAGUUGAGGAGCUCAGACAAAUAAGAAAUGUUGGUUGCAGUGCUAUCCUAAAAGAACUGUUUGCAACAUUUAGCUCUUUAGACUGUAUUAUUUCCAAUGUAUAAACACCUAUGAGGUCAGAAA